rnacentral:lncRNA from 1 species
AAUGUUUGUGCAUCUUUUGAAUUAAUCCAUUCGUAUUCACUCAUUUUUCAUUCAUGUUUAAAACAAAAAUACUCCUCUCAUUCACUUUUAUUUAUCAAACCAUUGUGUUAACAAAGAUUGGAAGGAGGAUGAUGAAAACGAAACACCUAAAAUUGUUGUGGUAUACUUUUGAGUAAAACCUUGUCGAUGAUGUAAGGCAUUGUUU